rnacentral:ncRNA from 1 species
UGUCUUCGGGGCGGGGUGUAAUUCCCCACCGGCGGUAAACCGGCGCAACGCCGGCAAGCCCGCGAGCGUAAGCUGAUCUGGUGAGAUUCCAGAGCCGACGGUAUAGUCCGGAUGGAAGAAGAG